GAGAAUUUUCGUGUACUUCCAUUCUUGUACUGCAUGAUAUGUAUAAUGCCAAGGAACAAUAAAGAUUCCUUGCAUCUUUUUUUCCACAAAUUUACUGUUAUAGAAUUUAGGUGGGAAAGAGAAAAACAGAAAGAUAGAGAAAGAGGGAAAGAGAGAAGAAACGGAAUUGACAGGAUAGAAGGAAAGAGAAGAGAAACAGAGAGAUCAAGGAAAUGUGCACUGCACUCUGUGAUUAUCUUUCAGUCUAUCUAAAAUACAACAAACCUGCCUUAUUUACAACUACCUAACAACCAUAAAAUAACAGUAGCUGACUAAAACUAACUAACUGACAUCCUUUUCUUUUUAUAUUUACAUAUCAAUACCCCUCCACCAAAAGAAGACCCUUGCCCUCAAGGGUUUUGCAUUUCAAACAUAGGGAAUUGCUGUUAAAACUUGAAUUAAGGAAUCCAUGUAGCCUCCUCAUUAGGUAAACCUCGCCACUGCACCAAACUUCUAGUGAUAAUACGACUCUUCUUCCUUCCCAUACGUUUGUUGAGAAUCUUUUCAAGAAACACAGAACUAGGGAUGGCUAGCCAAUCAAUGGGAGGAUGCCUCUGCUUAACAGAGAGGUCCAGGAAUAACUUGAGUAAAGAGACAUGAAUGUUGAGUGGAUUGAGAGUUUUCUGGAAGCUGUAACUUGUAGGCAACUGGUCCUACCUUUUCCAGAAUCCUAUAGGGCCCAUAGUACCUGGGAGCAAGUUUUUGAGAGCUUCUUGCUGCUGUAGAAAUCUGUCUAUAUGGCUGAAGCUUCAGUAACACCCACUGGCCAAUCUGAAAUUCCCUAUCGGACCUUCUUAAGAACUCCUUCCAAAAAUUGCUUACGUAAACAGGAUCCCUAUCACUAAUUAUCUCAACUAGUGCUCCAUGUAGUUUGUAAAUCUGAUCCAUGAAAUGCUGAGGUGUUGCCACUGUAUAUGGCUGUGAAAGGGCCACAAAAUGGACAUACUUGCUCAUAUGAUCAAUAACAACCCAAAUAGUAUCCUCACAAUUGGAUUUGUGAGGGCCCUCAAUAAAAUCCGUUGUUAUACUUUCCCAAAUCCGACUAGGAAUAGGAAGAGGGUGCAAAAGUCUAGGGGUAGCAACUGUAUCAUACUUACACCGUGCACAUGUAUCACAAUGUUCAAUGAAAUCCUGAACAUCUUUAAUCAUCCUUUUCCACCAAAAUAGGGAUCUCAACCUCUGAUAUGUUGCUUGCACCCCUGAAUGACCUCCUUGAGGGCUAGAAUACAUCCAUUCCAGUAAUUGUUGCCUCAACUCAGCAUCAUUGCCCACUAUUAACUUUCCUUUCUUCCUCAAAAGUUGACCAUCCCAAGUGUAGUGUCCCAAAUUACCUCCCUUCCAAGCUAAAUGAGACAUUAAGGCAUGCAAAUUUGCAUCUUGCUCUCAACUCUUCUCAAUUUUCUGUAGAAAUUCUGAGGAUGAAGUAUCAAGUGCCAUGUGCAUUAGUUGCUGACGUGGCAGCCUAGGAAGUGAAUCAACCACAUAAUUAUUGUUGCCCUUAUGCUGAAUCUCGUAUUCAUACCCGGCCAGCUUUGCCAACCAAAACAUCUGAAAUGAAGUCUUUAACUUCUGACCCAACAAAUACCUUAAGCUUUGUUGACCUAUUCGAAUUAUAAACUUCCUCCUCUCUAGAUAUUGAUGCCAAUGCUCCACUUCUAAGACUACAACCAUCAAUUCCUUCUCAUAGAUUGAAAGGGAUUGAUGCCUUGGUGCUAGUGCCUUGCUGAAAAAUGCCAAAGGCUGCCUUUGCUGCAUAGGUACAGCACCAAUUCCAUCUCCACCGCAAAAUCCAUUGAAAAAUCUGUGAGUGCUAAAGCUGGUGUUGAAACAAGCACAUUUUUCAGUAUUUGAAAUGCUUGACUUAGACCAAUUAAAACCAUUUUUCUUGAGUAAUCUGGUCAGUGGUUUGGCCAAAGCUCCAUAAUUCUUGAUGAAGCACCAAAAAUAACCAGCCGGCCCUAGGAAUUCUCUCAGUUGCUUCAUACUUGUAGGUUUUGGCCAAUCACUUAUUGCUUGAAUCUGCUUAGGGUUUGUAGAAACCCUUCCCUUGCUAAUAAUGUGCUCCAAAUACUCCAACUUGUUGGCUGCAAAUGUCCUCAUACUUUUCUUCACAGAAUACUGGUCUUCUCUCAAGAUUAGCAACAUCAUCCUCAAAUCAAAGAUAAUUCAGCCCCAUUCUCCUUCCAACACAACCUCUUGGUCAAAUCAUAGUCCAAGAAAUCAUGGAUGCUUCCUUUGUCAAUGAGGAUUUGAAGUGUUCUCUAUCCUCAUAAAGGUUGUUCCUUCCACACCUUCAAUUGUAUGCAAGGAAAUGUUAGGAUUAUCUUCAUUAUCACAUUCAGCUUCUUCUACUACAGUAACUUCUUCAUCUGCAAUUGCAUCCUUCUGCAGUGAGGGAAAUACCAGUCCUUGGUGAACUUAUCAGGACAGUAAAAAUAACGAUUCCAAGCUCUAUGAUCAACUUCUUCUGCAGUUAAAGAUUUCAAUGUUCUUGAUGAAUUCUUGGGGGAAAAAGGGAUGCUAUUUACUGUCCUUGCUGCUGACUUCUCUUUUGGCUAGGACUCACUUUCUACUAAUGCGUUCUUGCUGGACUUCCAGUUAUUUGGAUACUUUCUAUUGUAUUACUGCUUCCGGGAGCCAUGUAACUCAUGUUCUUGGUAGCCAUUUUCCUCUCAUCACGUCAUCGAAGCUUUAUUUCUUGUGGACAUGCCAAGCUGCAAGCUUCUCUCAUGGUUCUUGAUUGAAUAAACGGACUGGGUCAACAUAUUCAUCUUGCAGGCCAGCCAAAUAAGCAUCAACAAGAUAGUCUUUGGAUAAGCAAGCUUACAAGAAAUCACAUCAAAUGCAUCAUUAAAUUCUGCCAAGGUGCCAUGCUGUUGCAAACGCCUCAAAUCUUGAAGGUGAUCUUGAUGGCAUAUAUGGUGGUGCCCUUCUCUGCAGCUAUGUCCAAGAUUGAUGGAAGCAUAAUACCUUUUGCGCAUUAGCUGAUGCAGCUGAUUAGAAAUACCCUCCACCAUGUCUGAAAGUGCAUCAACCUUUGCAAGCUUUUGCUCCAUUUGAACAAAUCUUUCUUCCAUUUCACACAUCAUCAUCAUCUAUGAUCUUGUUUUUGUGUCCAUGGGUGAAAAGAUUCUGAUCUAUUGAACGUGAACAGCCAGCUCUGAAUACCACUCUUAUAGAAUUUAGGUGGGAAAGAGAGAAGAAACAGAAUUGAGAGGAUAGAAGGAAAGAGAAGAAAAACAGAGAGGUCAAGGAAAUGUGCACUGCACUCUGUGAUUAUCAUUCAGUCUGUCUAAAAUACAACAAACCUGCCUUAUUUAUAGACAACUACCUAACAGCCAUAAAAUAAUAGUAGCUAACUGACAUCCUUUUCUUUUUAUAUUUACAUAUCAUUUACGACAUGCAAUUGAAAGUGGCUCAGAUUGUGGAGUAUGAAUCUAACUUUUACUAGCCAAUAAUAUGCUUUAUCCUAUGGUUCUAUAAGGCGUAAUGUGUGUAAUAUCAUAAAAGUGAAUAACAAAAUUGAGUAUGGGUAAUUCUCCAGCAGAUAACAAGUUGAAGGGAAGGGAGAA